rnacentral:rRNA from 1 species
AAUCAACGCUGGCGGCGUGCCUAACACAUGCAAGUCGAACGCGAAAGUCCCGCAAGGGAUGAGUAGAGUGGCAAACGGGUGAGUAACGCGUGGGUGACCUGCCUUCGAGCGGGGGAUAACGUUCCGAAAGGGACGCUAAUACCGCAUGACAUCCUGCCUUUCAAGAGGUGGAGAUCAAAGCUAGGGAUCGCAAGACCUAGCACUCGAAGAGGGGCCCGCGUCCGAUUAGCUAGUUGGUGGGGUAACGGCUCACCAAGGCAACGAUCGGUAGCCGGCC